rnacentral:rRNA from 1 species
WRGGCCCAGAUCGUUUACCGUGAAAAAAUUAGAGUGUUCAAAGCAGGCAGAUCCAAUUUUCUGCCACCGAAUACAUUAGCAUGGGAUAAUGGAAUAGGACCCUGUCCUCCUAUUUUCAGUUGGUUUUGGCAGCGCGAGGACUAGGGUAAUGAUUAAUAGGGAUAGUUGGGGGCAUUAAUAUUUAAUUGUCAGAGGUGAAAUUCUUGGAUUUAUGAAAGAUUAACUUCUGCGAAAGCAUCUGCCAAGGAUGUUUUCAUUAAUCAAGAACGAAAGUUAGGGGAUCGAAGACGAUCAGAUACCGUCGUAGUCUUAACCAWAAACGAUGCCGACCAGCGAUUAGGAGACGUUGAAYMCAAAACACCACCAUYGGCGCGGUCGUCCUUGGCGUCUYGGUYCSSCCGSGGCGCGKGGAKGACUMSCGAUCGUACYCCYUG